CGUUGUAACGCCGGUUUCCGGACGAUCACCAAAGUUAAACAAUGUCGAUCCUGGUCAGUACCUAGAUGGGUGACCUGCUGGGAAUACCAGGUACUGUAA